rfam:Triticum aestivum genome assembly, contig: Triticum_aestivum_CS42_TGACv1_scaffold_147622_2BS
UAGGUACUCCCUCCAUCCGAAAAUACUUGUCGAAGGAGUGGAUGUAUUUAGACGCAAUUUAGUUCUAGAUGCAUUCAUUUUCAUCCAUUUCUCUGACAAGUAUUUCCGGACAGAGGGAGUAUUUG